CAUAUGCUUGUUGUUUGAAAAUAUUUGUGAGAGUUGAGAGAGAAUGUUUCUUUGAGAUUGUGAGCUGAGAGAGCGUUUGAGUGAGAUUGAGGGUUAGGAGCGCGCUUGAGAGAGAAGUGUAAGGUUGGGAAAGAAGAAAGAUCGUGAGGGCGAUACCGGAGGAAGACGAGCUUCUGUCAUCUUCUUCUUCGUCUCCAUUUCCUUUUUUUCUUUUCUUUUCUUUUCUUUUUUAAUUAAUUCAAUUUCUUUUUGUUAAACAGAGAUAAAUAAAUAAAAAAACCACAAAAAUUUGUAAUAUGUUUAGCAUUUCUUUUUUCUUUUCUUUUAUUACGUAGUGUAUAUUAAUGUUGUUUAGUUUAGUUAGGCUGUCCAGUAACAUUAGCCUAUCCCCUCUUUAAUUGAUUUGUUUUCUAAACUAUCUCUAGCUAGUUAUGUUUAUAUUCCCAAGUGUUUGCUAAAAUGAUAACUAAUCAUGAAUGGCCUAGUGGAGAGAGGGUAG
rnacentral:lncRNA from 1 species